rnacentral:lncRNA from 1 species
AUCACAUUUCCCACUUGGAAAAAACUGGUUGAAGCAAUGUUUCCACGUCAUUUCAACCCAAAACAAUCAAUGUGAUGACGUUGAAUAAACUUGGAAAACUGAUUUGGAACUUUUGUAAAAAGUUAUCAUCCUCAGGGCAUUUCAUCUUUUUUUCACCCAACUUUGAACCUAAAUGAUAAUUGUUGUUGAUUUCAUGUUAAAUUCAGGAUCAGUUGACAACUCAACCAAAUGUAAAUCAAAACUAGACAUUGAACUGAAGUCUGUGUCCAGUGGAUUAUCUCCUGUCAGUGACAUUUAGUCUACUAAAACACAAUUACAACAUUAUUCCUCUGGAUAACUGGUCCUCAGUUACCCCAUGGGUAAAUAUACAUUUUCCUCAACUGUAACAGUCACUGAAUGCAGUCUUUUCUCAUUUAGCAACACACAGUGAUAAGCAGGUUAUACAGUUCGGAAAGUAAUCAGACCCCUUUCCUUUUACCACAUUUUGUUACGUUACAGCCAUAUUCUAAAAUGGAUUAAAUGAACGAAAUCCUCAUCAAUCUACAUACAAUACCCCAUAAUGACAAAGUGAAAACAUUUUUUUUUAAUUGGAGUCCACCUGUGGUAAGUUCAAUCGAUUGUCCGGGCUCUGGCUGGGCCACUCAAGGACAUUCAAAGACUUGUCCCGAAGCCACUCUUGCGUUGUUUUGGCUGUGUGCUUAGGGUCGUUGUCCUGUUGGAAGGUGAACCUUCGCACCAGUCUAAGGUCGUGAGCGCUCUGGAGCAGGUUCAAGGAUCUCUCUGUACUUUGCUCCGUUCAUCUUUCCCUCGAUCCUGACUAGUCUCCCAGUCCCUGCCGCUGAAAAACAUCCUCACAGCAUGAUGGUGCCACCACCAUGCUUCACCAUAGGGAUGGUGCCAGCUUUCCUCCAGACGUGACACUUGGCAUUCAGGCAAAAGAGUUCAAUCUUAGUUUAAUCAGACCAGAGAAUCUUGUUUCUCAUGGUCUGAGAGUCCUUUAGGUGCCCUUUGGCAAACUUCAAGCGGAUUGUCAUGUACCUUACUGAGGAGUGGCUUCUGUCUGGCCACUCUACCAUAAAGGCCUGAAUGGUGGAGUGCUGCAGAGAUGGUUGUCUUUCUGGAAGGUUCUCCCAUCUCCACAGAGGAACUCGAUUGCUCAGUUCAGCCGUGCGGCCAGCUCUAGGAAGAGUAGGAGGAAAUGUUCUGUGUUCUUGGGGACUUUCAAUGCUGCAGGAUUUUUUUGGUGGCCUUUCACAAUCCUGCCUCGGAGCUCGACAGACAAUUCCUUCGACCUCAUGGCCUGGUUUUUGCUCUGACAUGCACUAUCAACUGUGGGACCUUGUGUGCAUUUCCAAAUCAUGUCUAAAAACAAUUUAAUUUGUGACCCGUUUCAGGAAACUAGGCGUAGCCUCAAGUCACGACUUCAUAGGAGAGCCGUUUGAACGUAAAAACAUUUUUUUUUAAUCAAAAUGUGUUUUUGGCCAGAAAUGCCUUCAACAACAUGUGAACUUUCAUGUGCCUUAAUAACAAACUUUUAUGCUAUCUGUAAAUAUGAAUAAAAUUGUUAAAUUACGAUCCUAGUUGGUUAAGCCACAGAAAAAGCCAGCAACCUUCCCGCUAGCCAUGAUUGACUGAGAUAAUGAGGGGGCAGGACAUGCCGAGAGAUGAGUUUGGAUUGGUCUGCCCCAUAUAGCACGCUUCUGUCUAUUUGAGUGUGUGUAGGGUAAUCCUGUCUAACGCAGCUUAUAAAAAAAAAAUAUGUAUUGCGUAUUAAAACUUAACAAAAGACUCCAGUAAGCAACUAUCCAUUUCAAUAGAACGUCACUGCAACAACUGUUUCGUCUGAGUGUACCAGAGUGCAGAAUAACUGAUGAAUUUAUGAACUCUCAACACUGGUUGAAUAUGGCCGGUGUCAGUAAACGUCGGCAAAAAAGCGUAAAUUAAAUUGUUGCCAGGAGCACAGUUACAGUCAUCAAUGCUCUGGAUAACAUGAAAACAGCCUAACCAACUCUGCUAGGGUGAGUAAAAUGGUCAGAGUUUGGGUGGGGGCUAAAGCUUAAGAUGAUUCUUAUAGCAUUGCACACGGUCAGUGUGAACCAGAGUGACUUGACACAACAAAUGGCCAAGCAAAUUGUACAUACAAAACGGAAACGACACAGGAAAACGACUUUAGCUAUCUAUGAUAAUCGGUUUGUAUUGCUAGUACUCUAUGGAUUGGGAUUACAGUUCAUUGUUUAGCUGGCUAGCUAGCUAGCUACAUGUCUAAACAAAAGACCCCAAGUUAAAGCUUGCUGUUAGCUAGUUAGCUGACGUUUGAUGGCUGGCUUGCUAGCUAACAUUACGUGUAUAUGAACUGUGUGUAGUGAUGUUAUCUCAAAAUGCCACUUCGUAUCUAUUGUAUAAUAAUGCUAAAAUAUUUUUAUCUGGAAUUUGUCUUUCAGCAUCAGUAGAAUAUGCCUGACUCUCCUCCACCAGUCAUACAAAGAGAAUGGUCUAAUGCCGCCCCUCAAAAAGAGAGCUGGCCCAAGCAAGCACAGGUUACACCUGAAGCAUGAGGACUUGCAGUGAGUAGUGAACUUCAUCAACAACUACGUAGAGUUGACCCCGCCCUGUGCAACUGGGUCCUGGACUUUCUGGCGGGCCACCGCCAGGUGGUGAGGGUAGGAAACAACAUCUUCACCCCGCUGAUCCUCAACACUGGGGCCCCAAAAGGGUGCGUUCUCAGCCCUUUCCUGUACUCUCUGUUCACCCAUGACUGCAUUGCCAUGCACGCUUCCAACUCAAUCAUCAAUUUUGCAGAUGACACUACAGUGGUAGGCUUGAUUACCAACAACUACAGGGAGGAGGUGAGGGCCCUCGGAGUGUGGUGUCAGGAAAAGAACCUCUCACUUAACGUCAACAAAACAAAGGAGAUGAUCGUGGACUUCAGGAAACAGCAGAGGGAGCACCUCCCCAUCCACGGGACAGUAGUGGAGAAGGUGGAAAGUUAAGUUCUUCGGUGUACACAUCACGGACAAACUGAAAUGGUCCACCCACACAGACAGUGUGGUGAAGAAGGUGCAACAGCGCCUCUUCAACCUCAGGAGACUGAAGAAAUGUGGCUUGUCAUCUAAAACACUCAAACUUUUACAGAUGCACAAUUGAGAGCAUCCUGCCGGGCUCUAUCACCGCGUGGUACAGCAAUUGCACCGCCCACAACCGCAAGGCUCUCCAGAGGGUAGUGCGGUCUGCACAACGCAUCACCGGGGGCAAAUUACCUGCCCUCCAGGAGACCUACAGCACCUGAUGUCACAGAAAGGCCAAAAAGAUCAUCAAGGACAACAACCACCUGAGCCACUGCCACAGAAGGCGAGGUGCACUAUCCUCCUGACCCUAUGCAGCUGUGACAGGUGUCAACAUCCCACAGCUGGUUGGACUGGAGGAUGAUAUGGUGCUGGUGGAAAGCUGAGGCUGGCAACAACACCUGACUCCGUACUUCAGGCCGCUGCCACAGAUCAAGCAGUACCAGCACUUCAGGAGCGUUCGAACUCAGUCGGGACCAGGUUUCAGCUGCUGCGCAAUGAUGACAUCCAUCCUCCCAUAUAUGGUCUGCCUGUACAAACACCACCAGGACUGAACACAGCUAGACAAACAUAUAUUUUUGAGAAGAUCAGGGAGUUUUGCGACGAAGAGGCUAUGGACAUCACAUGCCCUGCACCAAAGUCAAGGGCAGGACAGAAACAGGCUCUCCGAAUAUAGAUUCCCUUGUUCAUGUGUGGUUUGGACGGACCAGUCAUCAGCACUAUCUGCAAUGCCUCUAUUCAAAUGACUCUCUCCUAACACACAUGCCAUACGUUCCUGCUACUAUUUCUUGUUUUAUUCCUGCUGUUCAGCCACUUUACCACUGAUUGUAUGCAUACAAUUACCUCGUCUAUCACUGAUAUCAUUAUUCAUAUUGUUCUUGUACAUACUGUAUAUUAUUUUACUUAUAUUGACACUAUUUCUGAUAUUGCUACUAUACAAGUAACCAUUUGGCUGUACCGUUUACACCUUCUGUAGAGACCCAUCCACUUAGCAAGAUGUGGCCAGUUGUGUAAAGUACUAAAGUAAAAAUACUUAAUGUUUUGGGGAGGGUAUCUGUACUUUACCAUUUAUAUUUGUUGCAACGUUUACUUUUACUUCACUACAUUCUGAAAUAAAAUAAUGUACUUUUUACUCCAUAUAUUUCCCUGACACCUGACACCCAAAAGUACUUUACAUUUUGACAGGAAAAUUGUCCAAUUCAAACUUAUCAAGAGAAAAUCCCUGGUCAUCCCUACUGCAUCUGAUCUGGCAGACUCACUAAACACAAAUGCUUAAUUUGUAAAUUACGCCUGCGUUUUGGAGUGUGCCCCUGGCUAUCCGUCAAUAAAAAAUAAAAAUGCCGUCUGGUUUGCUUUAUAUAAUGAAUUUGAAAUGAUUUAUACUUUUGAUACUUAAGUAUCAAAAGUAAAUGGAAUCGCUAAAAUGUACUUAAGUAUUUUUUUUAAACCAAAUAUUUUUACUCAAGUAGUAUUUUACUGGGUGACUUUUACUUUUACUUGAGUCAUUUUCUAUUAAGGUAUAUUUACUUUUACUCAAGUAUGACAAUUUUGUUAUUUUUCCACCACUGGAUGUGGCUCGGGUUAUAGCAUUUCUUUCACAUGACCCAUCAAUUUAGACAAGUGUGUCUGGGUAAGCGUCAUCUAAUAUUUAUUAAAUAUUUUUAUCGCAACA